rnacentral:rRNA from 1 species
GUGUCAGCCGCCGCGGUAAUACGGAGGGUGCAAGCAUUAAUCGGAUUUAUUGGGUGUAAAGAGCGUGUAGGCGGGCAAGUAAGUCAGAUGUGAAAUUUCGGAGCUCAACUUCGAAGCUGCAUUUGAAACUGCUUGCCUUGAGGGUAGACGGAGAAAACGGAAUUCCAAGUGUAGCGGUGAAAUGCGUAGAUAUUUGGAAGAACACCGGUGGCGAAAGCGGUUUUCUAGUUUAUUCCUGACGCUGAGACGCGAGAGCAAGGGGAGCAAACAGGAUUAGAUACCCUGGUAGUCCUUGCCGUAAACGAUGCAUACUUGGUGUAGUUGGACUCAACCCCGACUGUGCCGUAGCUAACGCGUUAAGUAUGCCACCUGGGGAGUACGCUCGCAAGGGUGAAACUCAAAAGAAUUGACGGGGGCCCGCACAAGCAGUGGAGCAUGUGGUUUAAUUCGAUGCAACGCGAAGAACCUUACCCAGGCUUGACAUAUAGAGGACCGCUCUAGAGAUAGAGCUUCCCGCAAGGGCCUUUAUACAGGUGCUGCAUGGCUGUCGUCAGCUCGUGCCGUGAGGUGUUGGGUUAAGUCCCGCAACGAGCGCAACCCUUGUCGUUAGUUACCAGCACGUAAUGGUGGGGACUCUAACGAGACUGCCUAGGUUAACUAGGAGGAAGGUGAGGAUGACGUCAAGUCCGCAUGGCCUUUAUGUCUGGGGCUACACACGUGCUACAAUGGUCGGUACAGAAGGCAGCAAAGCCGAAAGGUGAAGCAAAUCCCAAAAACCGAUCUCAGUUCGGAUAGAAGUCUGCAACUCGACUUCUUGAAGUUGGAAUUGCUAGUAAUGACGUGUCAGCAAUAACGUCGUGAAUACGUUCCCGGGCCUUGCACACACCGCCCGUC